UACGGAAGGCAGCAGUGGGGAAUAUUGCACAAUGGGCGCAAGCCUGAUGCAGCCAUGCCGCGUGUAUGAAGAAGGCCUUCGGGUUGUAAAGUACUUUCAGUCGUGAGGAAGGUGUUAAGGUUAAUAACCUUAGCAAUUGACGUUAGCGACAGAAGAAGCACCGGCUAACUCCGUGCCAGCAGCCGCGGUAAUACGGAGGGUGCGAGCGUUAAUCGGAAUUACUGGGCGUAAAGAGCACGUAGGUGGUUUUUUUAAGUCAGAUGUGAAAUCCCUGGGCUUAACCUAGGAACUGCAUUUUGAAACUGAAAUACUAGAGUAUCGUAGAGGGAGGUAGAAUUCUAGGUGUAGCGGUGAAAUGCGUAGAUAUCUGGAGGAAUACCUGUGGCGAAAGCGGCUCCUAAACGGAUACUGACACUGAGGUGCGAAAGCGUGGGGAGCGAAACAGGGAUUAGAUACC
rnacentral:rRNA from 1 species